CUCUCAGGUCCCUGGCGCAUCCACAUCUCUUGCUGUUGGCUGCUGUCUUUUGCAUCGUUCCAAUCCAGCUGGAAUCGUGUUUACAGAUAAAUCCGGCUUCCUGCGUGUUUUAUAUGAUUUCUCUCCGUUUCCCACCUCCUCCCCUUCAAGGAGCAAAUCUCGCUGGAACUCCAAUUUCCCGCUUUGUCAGAAUAGUAAAUAUGCUGUGAUUUCAUUCUGUAUAACCGGCACCGUCCACUUGCCUGAAAGACUGCUCGCCACCAUCUCCACAGCAAACCAGAGCCUUUCACGGAAGCGAAGCGGAGGAAGGGGUCGACCCAGAUUUAUUUGAGUUUUUGGAGGGGUGAAUCACAAUAACAUCGCCCCCCCCGCCCCGACUCCCCUACCCACCAUGUGCUAGUUUCUGCUCCACAAGCUAGGAUGAGGCGUUCCGUGCUGGACAGGGCGACCAGCCAAUCACAGCCGACCUUUGGCCUCCAUUGACGUCAUCGCACCAAUCAACAUCGCCGAGGGCGGGACUGAACGUCAGUCCUGAGCUUGAUAUGUAGCUACAUUGUUAAUGCUGCCCAGCAGCUGAUCUACUUGUCUCAUUUCACAAAUUUUAACUCAGCCGACCAAAGAUCACUCUCUAAAACAUAGGUGGGUCUUUCCCUGAAGGAACUUCUGGAAGGUUGAGUGUAAACUUUGUGAGAAUGUCUCAGAGAGUGAAACCAGCCAAAGAGGGCACCUCGGAGAGAAGUCCUGUCAUGGAGGGUGGAAUGCAGCUGCUAAACCGCGAUGGCCACAGUAUCUCCCACAAUUCCAAGCGCCACUACCACGAUGCUUUUGUAUCGAUGAACCGAAUGAGGCAACGGGGAUUGCUGUGCGAUAUUGUCCUGCAUGUGGGCAGUAAAGAAAUCAAGGCACACAAACUGGUGCUAGCCUCAUGUAGCCCUUACUUCCAUGCCAUGUUUACCAAUGAGAUGAGUGAGAGUCGCCAAACACAUGUGACAUUACAUGAUAUUGACCCUCAGGCCUUAGAGCAGCUUGUACAAUAUGCCUACACUGCCGAGAUUGUGGUGGGUGAAGGAAAUGUACAGACUCUGCUUCCUGCAGCAAGCCUCUUGCAGCUGAAUGGUGUUCGGGACGCCUGUUGUAAGUUCCUUCUGAGCCAACUUGAUCCAUCCAACUGUCUGGGAAUCCGAGGAUUUGCUGAUACACAUUCCUGCAGUGACCUGCUCAAAUCUGCACACAAGUAUGUGCUCCAGCACUUUGUGGAGGUUUCCAAAACUGAGGAAUUUAUGCUGCUGCCACUUAAACAGGUGCUAGAUCUUAUCUCCAGUGACAACCUGAAUGUUCCUUCGGAAGAGGAAGUGUACAGAGCUGUGCUGAGCUGGGUCAAACACGAUGUGGAUGGAAGGCGGCAGCACGUGCCCAGACUGAUGAAAUGUGUCCGUCUGCCUCUCCUGACUCGGGAUUUUCUGAUGAGCAACGUGGAUACAGAGCUUCUGGUUAGACACCACUCGGAGUGCAAAGACCUCCUCAUCGAAGCCCUCAAAUAUCACCUAAUGCCUGAACAGCGGGGAGUCCUCAGCAAUACCCGAACCAGACCUCGGCACUGUGAGGGUGCCAGCCCCGUCCUCUUCGCGGUGGGUGGUGGUAGCCUGUUUGCCAUCCAUGGAGAUUGUGAAGCCUAUGACACGAGGACAGAUAGGUGGCACAUGGUCGCCUCCAUGUCGACACGGCGCGCGCGAGUUGGGGUCGCGGCGAUUGGAAACAGGCUGUACGCGGUCGGGGGGUAUGACGGCACUUCUGACUUAUCGACUGUUGAAUCCUAUGAUCCAGUAACCAAUUCCUGGCAACCGGAGGUAGCCAUGGGAACGAGACGGAGCUGCCUCGGUGUGGCGGUGCUACAUGGCUUGCUGUAUGCGGCUGGAGGUUACGAUGGCGCGUCGUGUUUGAACAGCGCAGAGAGAUUCGACCCUCUGACUGGAACGUGGUCAUCGGUUGCCGCAAUGAGCACAAGGCGGCGUUAUGUCCGAAUCGCAACAUUAGAUGGAAACCUCUACGCCGUCGGUGGAUAUGACAGCUCCUCACAUUUAGCUACGGUGGAAAAAUACGAUCCACAGACCAACACAUGGACCACUAUCGCUAAUAUGCUGAGUCGUCGAAGCAGUGCUGGGGUAGCGGUGCUGGAAGGGAUGCUGUAUGUUGCUGGUGGCAAUGAUGGAACUAGCUGUCUUAACUCUGUGGAAAGGUAUAAUCCAAAAACCAAUACGUGGGAGAGUGUGGCACCCAUGAACAUCAGAAGGAGCACGCACGACCUUGUAGCAAUGGAUGGGUGGCUUUAUGCGGUUGGUGGCAAUGACGGGAGCUCCAGCCUUAAUUCCAUUGAAAAAUACAACCCUCGCACCAACAAAUGGGUGGCAGCUUCGUGCAUGUUCACGCGACGGAGCAGUGUGGGCGUCGCUGUUCUGGAACUACUGAACUUCCCCCCUCCAUCGUCUCCCACUCUCUCAGUUUCUUCAACCAGCCUCUAACAUCCGAGUCCAGCCAGGCCUUAACCUCACGAUGAACACAGUCCUUUACGAAGCAGCCAGUUUUCUCUCCCUGGGUUCAUGACAAGGGAGCCCUGGGUGCUGUUCCUCCUGUUCAACAAGAACGAAAACAGGGGACCUAGGUUGGACCUCAAGUGGCGAGUAUUCUGUGAGCAAUUUGCCAAAAAACAGGGGCAGUGUCUGAUUGAACAAUAACAGUGCACACGCCCACCUACAAUGAUCUGGUCACACAACAUAAAGGGUGUCAUUUGAGGCCAAGGAGUCAGGUUUGAAACUUCCACUGUUCAUGUGGAGAUGUUGUGUUUCUUUGAAACUCUGUCUCUCUCUGUCUCUCUCUGUCUCUCUCUGUCUCUCUCUGUCUCUCUCUGUCUCUCUCUCUCCCUCCCCCUCCCCCCCCCCCCCCUCCUCUCUCUCUCUCUCUCUCUCUCUCUCUCUCUCUCUCUCUCUCUCUCUCUCUCUCAAGAACAACGCUGCCAGAGUGUUGGAAAUUUUGGCAAAUGCCAGAGUUUCUCCAUAACUCAACACAUCUCCAUCGGGAAAACGCAGGCUGUUAUUUCUGGAAUUUUAUCCCACGGUUGUCAUCGGUAUUUUCACGGCAUGAUGCACGUUUCUUUAAUUCCAGUGAAAAUAAAUGACAGCCCACUGUCAACCAUAAGGCCUCCACAAUGGACACUGACCACUGUCUUUGAGCCCCUCUCCUCCACAACACUACUUUUAAUAACUUUUUUUGUUGAAACCUUUCUCUGUUAUCUUCAAGGCUAUGUAGCAUUACAGAUUGUACAACAUAUCAACUCCUUCCUGAGAACCUUGGUACACCCAAGUUAGAAGACAGCAGUGCACAGGAAAUAUGACAAAGAGAGUUUAACAGCCGGAUAGACCUAAUUAUUCCGCAUCUUUUUGUACUGACCAACAAAAAUAAUUCAGAAAUCGAUUGCAUACCUCGUACUUUUGGUAAAAUAUAAUCUCCAGGAGAUUCUACUGUAGCACUUGCAUUUUAUCGCUCAACUUGUACUGUCAAUGAGAAGUUACUGCUGACCAGAGGUUUCUGAGGAUGUACUAAAUCAAACCCUCUAGAAUAUUGUGCCAGAUAUCCACACAAUGAUUUGUCCAGCCUCUAACUUCAGUGACCCAAUUUGUCUCUGUUAUGGACCCCGGCCUCCACAUAAAAUAUUCUUUGUCCAACAUGGUUCAACACACCUGCAUUGUGUAAUAGGACUCUUAUAUAAUUGAGAUUUAUUCUUUUUAAUUCCUAUGUUUUUUGCUCAAAUAUGAAUGUGUUAUGCCACUUUUGUUUUUUUACUGUUUCUAUCCUGGAUAUAUUGCAUCGAUCCCCUUGAUUGGAACAGUUGGAUUAUCCAAACACAAGCUGUUCUUGCGAUAAUUGAACCCAUUUCCAACCAGUCUCCAGCCUUGGGAAAACAUUGGCCAAGUUUCGGCUAGCGCUAAGUAGGUUAAUCCUUUUAACUUUGUCAUUUGUGAACGGACUUACAAUACAUUUCUUCAGAAAAAAAGACAUAUAUUUAAUUUAAUAAGAGGCUUCACCGUAAGAAAUGGAAAAUGUGUACAUCAUCUUUUUAGCUCUUAGCAGAGCUGUUAUUAAAUGAAAACCAAUACUUAUAUCCCUCUUUCAGUCAGAUAGUUGGGAAUCUACAUGUGCACUGCAAAGUGAUUUAGAAUUUGUUUGAGUGAACGUGUAAGAGAAGAAUUGUGGCUAUUUUUGGAUAUAGUUUUGCAGUCAUGAUGUUUACCUGUCAAUUACUUGCAACAUUUGCCUUGUCCCUUCAGGGCCAGCUUCAAUGUAGCACUUCUACUCCCAUCUCCCCACAUUCAAAAUCAAAGAAGAAUUACUUGCUUCGAUGAGCAAAACAGUCCCUCGCUGGCACAGGGAGCUGGGUUUCGAGUUAGUUUGUGCAAGAUGGUUAGGCACGCUACAACAAAGAUACAAAUGCACAAACUUGUAGGUCUUCAAAAUAGUUGAUCCUGAUUUAUUUUUCUGAGAUUACAAUUCAUGAACUCUGUGUAUGUGUGUGUGUGUGUGUGUGUGUGUGUGUGUGUGUGUGUGUGUGGUUUUUUUUGUCAAUUUGGUUAAACAGACCUGAACAGAAUCUAGUGCAAUUGUUUUUGUUUUUAUGUAUGCUGGUAUGAAGAAAAUGACAUGUUUGAACAGGGUGGGUGAAGCAUCGUGGGUUUAUUUUAAUUUACAGUUAAUAUAUGUGAAGCCUCUUGCUUAUUUAUAUGUAAUUUAUGUUGGCAUACUUGUGUGAAAUGUUUUCAUUACCUUUGCACUAUACUUUACAACAAAAUCAGCAAUACAAAAU